rnacentral:rRNA from 1 species
UNUGGCUUAACUGGGGGCUUGCGGUGGGUACGGGCCGGCUUGAGUGCGGUAGGGGAGACUGGAACUCCUGGUGUAGCGGUGGAAUGCGCAGAUAUCAGGAAGAACACCGGUGGCGAAGGCGGGUCUCCGGGCCGUUACUGACGCUGAGGAGCGAAAGCGUGGGGAGCGAACAGGAUUAGAUACCCUGGUAGUCCACGCCGUAAACGUUGGGCACUAGGUGUGGGGGGCCUUUUCCGGGUCUUCCGCGCCGUAGCUAACGCAUUAAGUGCCCCGCCUGGGGAGUACGGCCGCAAGGCUAAAACUCAAAGGAAUUGACGGGGGCCCGCACAAGCGGCGGAGCAUGCGGAUUAAUUCGAUGCAACGCGAAGAACCUUACCAAGGCUUGACAUGUGCCGGUCGGCUCCGGAGACGGGGUUUCCUCCUUGUGGGGCCGGUUCACAGGUGGUGCAUGGUUGUCGUCAGCUCGUGUCGUGAGAUGUUGGGUUAAGUCCCGCAACGAGCGCAACCCUUGUCCCGUGUUGCCAGCACGUUGUGGUGGGGACUCGCGGGAGACUGCCGGAGUCAACUCGGAGGAAGGUGGGGAUGACGUCAAAUCAUCAUGCCCCUUAUGUCUUGGGCUUCACGCAUGCUACAAUGGCCGGUACAGAGGGCUGCGAUACCGUGAGGUGGAGCGAAUCCCUUAAAGCCGGUCUCAGUUCGGAUCGGUGUCUGCAACUCGACACCGUGAAGUUGGAGUCGCUAGUAAUCGCAGAUCAGCAACGCUGCGGUGAAUACGUUCUCGGGCCUUGUACACACCGCCCGUCACGUCAUGAAAGUCGGCAACACCCGAAGCCCGUGGCCCUACGGGGAGCG